rnacentral:pre_miRNA from 1 species
UAGCGAACACUAAACAGAGACAGAGGUAAAAGAGGCGUGUGUUUCGUCGCCUCUUUUACCUCUGUCUCUGUUUAGUGUUCGCAA